AGUCGUAACAAGGUUUCCGUAGGUGAACCUGCGGAAGGAUCAUUACCGAGUGCGGGCUGCCUCCGGGCGCCCAACCUCCCACCCUUGACUACCUAACACUGUUGCUUCGGCGGGGAGCCCUCUCGGGGGCGAGCCGCCGGGGACUACUGAACUUCAUGCCUGAGAGUGAUGCAGUCUGAGUCUGAAUAUAAAAUCAGUCAAAACUUUCAACAAUGGAUCUCUUGGUUCCGGCAUCGAUGAAGAACGCAGCGAACUGCGAUAAGUAAUGUGAAUUGCAGAAUUCAGUGAAUCAUCGAGUCUUUGAACGCACAUUGCGCCCCCUGGCAUUCCGGGGGGCAUGCCUGUCCGAGCGUCAUUGCUGCCCAUCAAGCCCGGCUUGUGUGUUGGGUCGUCGUCCCCCCCGGGGGACGGGCCCGAAAGGCAGCGGCGGCACCGUGUCCGGUCCUCGAGCGUAUGGGGCUUUGUCACCCGCUCGAUUAGGGCCGGCCGGGCGCCAGCCGACGUCUCCAACCAUUUUUUUCAGGUUGACCUCGGAUCAGGUAGGGAUACCCGCUGAACUUAAGCAUAUCAAUAAGCGGAGGA
rnacentral:misc_RNA from 1 species